rnacentral:rRNA from 1 species
GGCGCUGAAGCGUCGUGCUUAUACUCUGCCGUCGGGACAGUAGUGAUAUCUUUACAUUCUCCGGGGUGUAAAAUAUCGUCAGGUCUCGACGAGUAGGUGGGCCGCGGCGGUGAGCGCAGAAGGACUGGGCGUAGGCCCGUCUGGAGCCUCCGUCGGUGCAGAUCUUGGUGGUAGUAGCAAAUACUCCAGCGAGGCCCUGGAGGACUGACGUGGAGAAGGGUUUCGUGUGAACAGCCGUUGCACACGAGUCAGUCGAUCCUAAGCCCUAGGAGAAAUCCGAUGUUAAUGCAGUUGUGUCUUUAUUUAUAUGAUAACUUAGUGUGAGAGUAACACGUUGACGUUAUACUUUUGAUACAUACAGAGAAUUGCUGACUGACGUACUGACUUUCACGCGCUCUCACACCGGCCGCCUUGUGCUGUCCCAUUGGUUCUACCAAUUGUGAUGGGUGCUUGUGCUCUAAAGUGUGUAUGUGUUGUGUGUUAUGGAGGUAGCUGAAACACAAUUUUAUUGUUGAUAAAGUGUCUUCGCUGGUCUCUAUCCACUGAUGAAUCGUUAUUAGAGAAGUAUCACACUCAUUGGGCGAAAGGGAAUCCGGUUCCUAUUCCGGAACCCGGCAGCGGAACCGUUUACAAGUCGGGCCCUCUUUGAGAGUUCGUCGGGGCAACCCAAAAAGACCUGGAGACGCCGUCGGGAGAUCCGGGAAGAGUUUUCUUUUCUGUAUGAGCGUUCGAGUUCCCUGGAAUCCUCUAGCAGGGAGAUAGGGUUUGGAACGCGAAGAGCACCGCAGUUGCGGCGGUGUCUGGAUCGUCCCCUCGGACCUUGAAAAUCCAGGAGAGGGCCACGUGGAGGUGUCGCGCCGGUUCGUACCCAUAUCCGCAGCAGUUCCAAGGAGAC